GAGGAGAAUACUGGGGAAUAAUAAAUAAAUUAGGCAUGUGGUUUCUUGUCCUGUAUAAGACAUUGUAUACAUAUCAUAUGAAAUAUUACCAUCCCCAUUUCACAGAAGAGGAUCCUGUAGUUUAGAGAGCUUAGGUAACUUAAAGCUACAUAGGUAGUCAUGUGAAAUGGUAGAAAUCAAAUCUAGGUCUAAUCUGACUUCUAAAUUCUGUCUUUUUUCCCCCACACUACAUUGCCUUCCAGGACAAUAUAGCAGGAGAGGUGGAUAACAAGAAAAUACAAUGCAAUGUGAUGAGUGCUAUAACCAAGAUAAGUCUUACUGGAAUUAACUCUCCCUGAAGGAGCUUUGGAAGUCUCAAGAAAGAGGUGACAUUUGAGUUAGGUUUUAUUAAUGAUUAGGGACUCACCAGGUGAAGCCCAGAAAAGGCAUGCUUGGAAGCCUGUGAAAUGGACUUGAGAUUGUACAGAGUAUGACAAGGAGUUAGGGUAGGCUGGAAUACAGAAUUGGUAGGGUUGUUCAAUUUCCAGAGAUAAAGGUGAACAGUGCAUUUUGAGUCUAGAUUGAGUAAUGCUGUAUACGUCAAACAAAGGAGUUUAUAUUUAAUUUUACAGGCAAUGGGGAGUCACUGGAAUGCUUGAACAACGUUACUUUAAGAUGAUUUUGACAAUGCGUGGAGACUAGAUCAAAGGAAAGAGAUGCUGGGCCAUACUUCCUAGACUCCCUUGCUGUUAGAUGCAGUGAUAUGACCAGAUUCUAGCCAAUAAAAACUGGAAAGACAUGAGAGAUGCUGUUGCCAGGCCUGACUGUGAAAACUUACUGCACAGUCCUCCACUCUUAUUUUCCUCUGUGCCAGCUGGAUGUCAGUGUCCAAAGUGUCCUUGGAAGCCACAUGUUGAAGACACCAAAGCUUCUGAAAGCCUGAACGGCUGCAUGGUGUGGAUUCUUCUCUCCCCAGCCCCAUCUCCCCAACACUGCUGCUGUUAGACUUAACAAAAGCUAGAAAUAAACUUCUACUGAGUUAAUACUCUGAGAUUUCAGGUUUUAUCUUUUAGCCACAGAGAUUCCAGAGUUUAUCUGCUAACUAAAAGACGAAUGCUGCAACUCAGCUGAUAAUGGACUCUAUCCCACUUGCGAUACAAAUCUGGGUUUCUAGCCAACAGCAGCUCUUAAAUUCCAUUUAUUUGGAGACUAUAAAAUUGAUUCACACACCAAACACCUGUUUAGCUUCCUACAUAGGGAAUCUAUGUCCACAAGUGACUCAUACUACAGAGUUUCAACAUGCAGUCUCUUCUCAGGCUGAGUUUUAGACUGAGGCCAGUGUUCAUGGGGACCCACCUUGGGCGUAGAAAGCCAUGGAGGCCUGAACAGCUAACCAGAUGGUUAGAAACAUCACUCUGACUAAACCUUACAUACUGUGCCCUCACACAUAUGUCUUCUCAUUCUACUGGGGAUGAGGGCCACCAAGGGCCCUCAUAGCCACAUAGGAAAGUUACCCAGCAUAAGAAAAUGACAGAACCAGGACUGAAGGCUG
rnacentral:lncRNA from 1 species